rnacentral:lncRNA from 1 species
CCACAUUCUCGGCCGUCGAUUUAUCUAAUUUCCUCAUCGGAGAGGCCUCCACGCCUUGGUCGUGGCCAUGGUGAGUUGAGGUGUUCGCCGCCCCUGCUGCCACUGGCGACAUCGACCCUCGGCGCCACCGGUAGCUACCUCUCCGUGAGCCGCAGUAACCCUUCAACAUCUGCUCCCUGGUGCUGCCAGUCUCAACGCUCCCUCCGUUCCAGGUGAUGCUAAGUCAACGCCGCCCGCCGGGGCCAGGGAGGCUGCUCGGGCAUGGCCGGGCGGGGUGGCCGUGGCGGGCGGCGGGGCCGAGGCCGGGGCAGCACGGGUGGCUGGGGUGGCGGGUUCAAGGGCCCUCCUGCGCGUGCUGUCCCUCGCAGUCGACCGCCUCCGCGCGUCGUUCAGCUUCUCGCUGCCGACCACGCGCCGCUCUUCGAAUAUGCGGCCGCGGAGCCAUCCCCCUAGCUGCCGGCGAGGGGGGCCGCGGCGGCGGCGGGGAAUGACGGCCACGACGAUGAGCUCAAGCGCGAGGAGGUGGUGUGCAUCGAGAGGACCCGGUUGGAGGCGGCCAUGGAGCUGGCGCCCAGCAGCCGGCGUCCGCGGACGAGGAGGACGCGGAGGGCGGUGGCGGCCGAGGAGUCGACGCGCGCGCACGACGUCGUCGUCACCCCUGCUCGCGCCCACCUCGCGGCGGCGGUGGUGAGGGAGGCCGGCGUCGGUGCUGGUGCUGGGCUCGGCGAGGUGUUGGCGGUGGAGGUGGACGCGCGCGCGGACGACUUCAUCUGGCGGUUCCGGGAGCAGCUCCGGCUACAGCGCCUCGACUCCAUCCUCCGCUACCGGGACACGCUCACGUACCGCGGUUAAUAAAUCAAUUGUUAGACCCACCCGUCAAUGACUAAAGUUGGAUCAAAUAAAAAAAAGUGGGCAGCAGGAUCCACACUUUAUAAAUAGUACUAGUAUAGAUAGAUUUUGUAGAGGUGAUGCUCGUUGGGUUUCCGCCCCUACCGGUCAAUCAUUAUCUUCAAAAUCAAAAGUAGACCGGUAGUAUAGAUAGAUUUUGUAGAG